GACGCCAUCGCAGGCUGGUGACGUAAUGAAGGACAUAAUCCGGUGCUGGAGCCUCUGUCGCCAAGCCCAGACCACGCUGCUGUUCAUCGUGCACUAGCGGUCCCAAGAGGUUCAAAGUCCACCAAGAUGGCAACCCUCAAGGACCAGCUGAUUGUGAAUCUACUUAAGGAAGAACAAGCCCCCCAGAACAAGAUUACGGUUGUUGGGGUUGGUGCUGUUGGCAUGGCUUGUGCCAUCAGUAUCCUAAAGAAGGAUUUGGCCGAUGAGCUUGCUCUUGUUCAUGUCAUGGAAGGCAAGCUGAAAGGAGAGAUGAUGGAUCUCCAGCACGGCAGCCUUUUCCUCAGAACACCAAAAAUUGUCUCUGGCAAAGACUAUAGUGUGACUGCAAACUCCCAGCUGGUCAUUAUCACAGCGCCCCCCCCCCCAUCAGCAAGAGGGAGAGAGCCGACUCAAUCUGGUCCAGCGAAAUGUGAACAUCUUCAGGUUCAUCAUUCCCAGUGUUGUGAAGUACAGUCCAAACUGCAAGCCGCUUAUUGUUUCAAACCCAGUUGAUAUCUUGACCCACGUGGCCUGGAAGAUAAGAGGCUUCCCCAGAAACCGAGUUAUUGGGAGUGGUUGCAAUCUGGAUUCAGCUCGGUUCCGUUACCUGAUGGGAGAAAGACUGGGCAUUCACCUGCUAAGUUGUCAUGGAUGGGUCCUAGGGGAGCAUGGAGACUCCAGUGGUGCCUGUGUGGAGUGGUGUGAAUGUUGUUGGUGUCUCCCUGAAGAACCUGAACCCAGAACUGGGCAGCGAUGCAGACAAGGAGCAGUGGAAGGAGGUUUACAAGCAGGUGGUUGACAGUGCCUAUGAGGUGGCCUACCUGGCUGAGAGCAUGAUGAAGAAUCUUAGGCUGGUGCAUCCCAUGUCUGCCAUGAUUAAGGGUCUCUAUGGAAUCAAGGAUGAUGUCUUCCUCAGUGUCCCUUGUAUCCUGGGACAAAAUGGAAUCUCAGAUGUUGUGAAGGUGACUCUGACUUCUGAAGAGGAGGCCCGCUUGAAGAAGAGUGCAGAUACGCUCUGGGGCAUCCAGAAAGAGCGGCUGUUCUAAAGUCCUCAGAUGUCCUAGAGUUUCACUGUCCAGGCUGCAGCAGGGUUUCUAUGGAGACCGCACACCGUCUCCUCAUCUGAGCGGUGUUUAUGUUGUUGUGUAAAGGUGGCAGUUCCCACAGCUCUGCCCUGCUGCUAAGUGUACUUGUGUAGUGGUAACCUGGUUGGUGUGGCAGUCCCACUGUUGUCCCACUGUCUCUGAGACACACUGCCAACUGUGUGCAGGCUUCGCUUAGCUUGGGAGACUGCUGUGUCUGCUGGGCACCCUCACCAACAUGCCUAGGCCAGUGAGUUCCCAGUUAGUCAUACCGCGGCUCCAGUGGGUAAAUCCAUCAUGCAUAUUUGUGCAUAACUGUUCUAAAGGAUAUUAUUUUGUGUAUUAUGUGUCUGUAGUGUGCAUUGAAAUACUAUAUAAAAAGUAAGAUCUGCAUAUGGAUGAUGCAAUCAGCUACUCAAGUGUCAUGCCAAUGAAAACACCAAAUAAACCUUGAAUAGUGAAGAAAAAAAAAAAAGGACAUAAUCCUUACACCUACACAGAGAGAAAGAAAAGACACUUGGUAGCAAAAACAAAAAUCUUAGGGCUGAUGAUGCAUGUCUGUGAGAGCACUUCCUACCUGCAUGGCAUCCCUGGUUCAGUCCCUGGUACUUCGUAACAAACACAAAGCUUUGUCUUUUACACUGACCUGAGUUUGAUCCCUGGAACCCACAAGAUAUGAAGAAAGAAUGACUCUCCAAAGUUG